rnacentral:rRNA from 1 species
AUUGAACGCUGGCGGCAUGCUUUACACAUGCCAGUCGAACGGCAGCGCGGGCUUCGGCCUGGCGGCGAGUGGCGAACGGGUGAGUAAUACAUCGGAACGUGCCCAGUAGUGGGGGAUAGCUCGGCGAAAGCCGGAUUAAUACCGCAUACGACCUGAGGGUGAAAGCGGGGGAUCUUCGGACCUCGCGCUAUUGGAGCGGCCGAUGGCAGAUUAGCUAGUUGGUGGGGUAAAGGCCUACCAAGGCGACGAUCUGUAGCUGGUCUGAGAGGGCGACCAGCCACACUGGGACUGAGACACGGCCCAGACUCCUACGGGAGGCAGCAGUGGGGAAUUUUGGACAAUGGGCGAAAGCCUGAUCCAGCAAUGCCGCGUGUGUGAUGAGGGCCUUCGGGUUGUAAAGCACUUUUGGCGGGAACGAAAAGGACUGUGCCAAUACCACGGUUCGAUGACGGUACCCGCAGAAUAAGCACCGGCUAACUACGUG